rnacentral:rRNA from 1 species
CCUACGAGUGGCAGCAGUGAGGAAUAUUGGUCACUGGGCGCGAGCCUGAACCAGCCAAGUAGCGUGAAGGAUGACUGCCCUACGGGUUGUAAACUUCUUUUAUAAAGGAAUACAGUGAGGCACGUUUGCCUUUUUGUAUGUACUUUAUGAAUAAGGAUCGGCUAACUCCGUCCCAGCAGCCGCGGUAAUACGGAGGAUCCGAGCGUUAUCCGGAGUUAGUGGGUUUAAAGGGAGCGUAGAUGGGUUGUUAAGUCAGUUGUGAAAGUUUGCGGCUCAACCGUAAAAUUGCAAUUGAUACUGGCAGCCUUGAGUACAGUUGAGGUAGGCGGAAUUCGUGGUGUAGCGGUGAAAUGCUUAGAUAUCACGAAGAACUCCGAUUGCGAAGGCAGCUUACUAAACUGCCACUGACAUUGAUGCUCGAAAGUGUGGGUAUCAAACAGGAUUAGAUACCCUGGUAGUC